AUUGAACGCUGGCGGCAGGCCUAACACAUGCAAGUCGAGCGAAAGAGUGUGCUUGCACACUCGAAAGCGGCGGACGGGUGAGGAACGCGUGGGAAUCUGCCUGUAGAUGGGGGAUAGCCCGGAGAAAUCCGGAUUAAUACCGCAUAAUACCUGAGGGUUAAAGUGGAGGAUCGCAAGACUUCACGUCUACAGAUGAGCCCACGUCAGAUUAGCUAGUUGGUAGGGUAAAGGCCUACCAAGGCGACGAUCUGUAGCUGGCCUGAGAGGGUGGCCAGCCACACUGGAACUGAGACACGGUCCAGACUCCUACGGGAGGCAGCAGUGGGGAAUAUUGGACAAUGGGCGCAAGCCUGAUCCAGCCAUGCCGCGUGUGUGAAGAAGGCCUUCGGGUUGUAAAGCACUUUAAGUUGGGAGGAAGGUUCGAUGGCUAAUAUCCAUCGGAAUUGACGUUACCAACAGAAUAAGCACCGGCUAAUUCCGUGCCAGCAGCCGCGGUAA
rnacentral:rRNA from 1 species